AGAGCGAACGCUGGCGGCAGGCCUAACACAUGCAAGUCGAACGAAUCCUUCGGGAUUAGUGGCGGACGGGUGAGUAACACGUGGGAACGUGCCUUUUGGUUCGGAACAACUCAGGGAAACUUGAGCUAAUACCGAAUGUGCCCUUCGGGGGAAAGAUUUAUCGCCAUUAGAGCGGCCCGCGUCUGAUUAGCUAGUUGGUGAGGUAAAGGCUCACCAAGGCUACGAUCAGUAGCUGGUCUGAGAGGAUGAUCAGCCACAUUGGGACUGAGACACGGCCCAAACUCCUACGGGAGGCAGCAGUGGGGAAUCUUGCGCAAUGGGCGAAAGCCUGACGCAGCCAUGCCGCGUGAAUGAUGAAGGUCUUAGGAUUGUAAAAUUCUUUCACCGGGGACGAUAAUGACGGUACCCGGAGAAGAAGCCCCGGCUAACUUCGUGCCAGCAGCCGC
rnacentral:rRNA from 1 species